rfam:Schistosoma mattheei strain Denwood, Zambia genome assembly, scaffold: SMTD_scaffold0000472
AUCCAGCCUAUGAGUCCCAAAUUGGACGAAACGCGCGUCCUGGAU